UGCCGUUGCGAGAGGUAGAGAGACAGAGAGAGUGAGGGUCUGCUCUCACUCUGGAAUAUUAGAGAGCGAAGGGAAACGGGGAAUUGGAGAGGAGGAAGGGAGGAGGUCAUCAAGGCCAAGCAAGGUAUUGUUUCUUCUCUGUGCCUUUUCUCAUUUGGGUAUUGCUUGCUUUUCUGGGUUCGUGGUUGCAUGUUGGUUUUGCAUGUGAGACCUACUCUUGAGGAACCUGAACCUGAAACCGAAGGCUUUGGAAAUCCAAUUUUGAAGGUCCGUUUUGCAGUUUUCUAAAGUUGAAUUGCUCCCAAAAGGCUUGGAUAUCCGGUUUCUUUCACACAAGGUGGUUAGCUUGCAAGGACUUGCCUCAAUUUUGGAGCCUAAUCUCCGCAGAAUUGACAAUGGCAAUUACAACCCCUUCAUCAAAUGUGACUGUUCUGAUAAUGUCAUUCGCCACAUUACCGUACUGCAACUUAGACUCUUCUGAUAGUUUAAAAUUAUGUUCUUACGUACUUUAAGUUUAAGUGCAGCUAGCUCACUUGGUUUUUGCUAUCUUUGUUUGUUGUUUGAUAUCAAACAUUAUCUGUUUGUUAAUUGGAUUAGGGAAUGACUUUGAAUGAUUUAAUCUUUUCUCA